CCUACGGGUGGCAGCAGUAGGGAAUAUUGCUCAAUGGGGGAAACCCUGAAGCAGCAACGCCGCGUGGAGGAUGAAGGUUUUCGGAUUGUAAACUCCUUUUGUUAGAGAAGAUAAUGACGGUAUCUAACGAAUAAGCACCGGCUAACUCCGUGCCAGCAGCCGCGGUAAUACGGAGGGUGCAAGCGUUACUCGGAAUCACUGGGCGUAAAGGGCGCGUAGGCGGGAUAGCAAGUCAGAUGUGAAAUCCUAUGGCUUAACCAUAGAACUGCAUUUGAAACUGGUAUUCUAGAGUAUGGGAGAGGUAGGUGGAAUUCGUGGUGUAGGGGUAAAAUCCGUAGAGAUCAAGAGGAAUACUCAUUGCGAAGGCGACCUGCUAGAACAUAACUGACGCUGAUGCGCGAAGGCGUGGGGAGCAAACAGGAUUAGAUACCCGAGUAGUC
rnacentral:rRNA from 1 species